CCAUCACUCUCUCCUCCUGUUCUCUCUGUGUUGUCAUUUGUUGGAUCAGUCUGUGUUGUGGCUCUACUGGUGUUACUGGUUCUGCUGGUGAGACGUGUGUUCACAGGAAACCUGAAGAUCAAGAUGUUGGAGAAGAUGACAUCAUCACUGACAUCAUGUGCAGUGUCAUCAACGUAUCAACUUGUCAGCAACAGCCAAUCAGACAAAGUGAAGAGUGUGAUUCAGCUGUGAUCUACUCAGCAGUGAAAACUGAAGAUGUCAGUUAUGGACAAACAACCAUCAGAACAAGGAGGCCCAGGUACAGCUGCUCUUUAUCUUUGACUGUGGACAGAGUCAAGCUAGCUGCUCACCCUGUUUCCAGCCAUCAAGCUAACCUAAGCUAACAAAAGUCCAUCACAGCUCUUUACUAGAUAAAAACUUACUUCACACUGGUAAACCUUUAACUGGGAGCAUGUGUGAACCAGAGACGUGGAGAUAGGAAAGGUUGAUUGAACUAAAAAGCUUGUAAUCACUGUAAUCACAACCUUUCAGUAAGCCGCUGCUGCUGGGUGCU